AACGUAGGACGCAAGCGUUAUCCGGAGGUACUGGGCGUAAAGGGCAGGCAGGCGGGUCGAUAAGUCGGAGGGGAAAUCUCCCUGGCUUAACCGGGAGAGUGCAUUUGAGACUGUCAACCUGGAGGGCAGCAGAGGAGCGUGGAAUUCCGGGUGGAGUGGUGAAAUGCGUAGAGAUCCGGAGGAACACCAGAGGCGAAAGCGGCGCUCUGGGCUGCACCUGACGCUGAACUGCGAAAGCCAGGGGAGCGAACGGG
rnacentral:rRNA from 1 species